rnacentral:rRNA from 1 species
GACGAACGCUGGCGGCGUGCCUAACACAUGCAAGUCGAACGGAGUGAAACGCUGAUUUGAUGUUAGCUUGCUAACGAAUUUUCUUGUUUCACUUAGUGGCGGACGGGUGAGUAACGCGUGAGGAACCUGCCCUUCAGAGGGGGACAACAGUUGGAAACGACUGCUAAUACCGCAUAAGCGCACAGCUUCGCAUGAAGUGGUGUGAAAAACUCCGGUGGUAUGGGAUGGACCCGCGUUGGAUUAGCUUGUUGGUGGGGUAACGGCCCACCAAGGCGACGAUCCAUAGCCGACCUGAGAGGGUGACCGGCCACAUUGGGACUGAGACACGGCCCAAACUCCUACGGGAGGCAGCAGUGGGGAAUAUUGCACAAUGGGCGAAAGCCUGAUGCAGCGACGCCGCGUGAAUGAAGAAGUAUUUCGGUAUGUAAAGUUCUAUCAGCAGGGAAGAAGAAUGACGGUACCUGACUAAGAAGCACCGGCUAAAUACGUGCCAGCAG